UUCCUCCCUGCAUUCCUUGCCGGGAGGAACUACAACUACGACGGCCUGGCUGCAUCAGGUUCUGGCCCUGGUUUUUGCAAAUUCUUAGACUUCCGUUCUACCCUCUGUAACCAAGACCUCUUACCUUGUGACCCAGAACAGACGGGUGUGUGCACACACACGAAGCCAAAGGCUGUGGAGAUCAGACUCCCCUACUGAUUCCCCCUGCAGGCGCCUGGAUGAGGACGUGCGGGAGCUAUAGAGUUCCUUCCUCAGUCAUGUCUCACCUUGACUGAUCCUUCUCAAAAACAGCAUUUGAAACCGGCUCCCGAGACUCUUAGGACAAGUCCUCCCUUCCGGCUGCUGCUGGGUUGCCAGCCCCAUCAUGUCCGAGCUCCCGCUUUCUGCCUACUGCUGGAGGUUCACAGUCACUGGACGCUUUCGGCAGGCACAUGACUACACAGUGAGGCGGAUGGAUCACAGCCAGAGUCCCUCUGCUGCCUGACACGUGAGAAGCGAGUGGCCCGCCCGGCCGGCACUUGGUGUGGAGCCGCCUGACGACACUGGUGACAGAGCAGCACCUGACAGUCUGGGCUCAGGGGUCUCCUCUUGCCCUCCACCACACAGCCUCGUCCUUGCAGGUAGUUCUAAGGCGGGACGAGCUGGAUCCUUCCGGGUUGGGGAACGGGGAGCAAGUAUAACAUUUAUUUUGGCUCAAAUACGGGACUGGCGUUUGCUCUUUGGAAUACCUCCUAUGCGACUUCUGUCAUCGGAAAGCGAGGGAUACGGUUCCGGCCCUAUUCAAUCGCUAAAGAUCUGAGCCGGAGAGGCAGCGGGCAGCUGGUUGCCUCAAACGCCAGCUCCUCCCCCGAGGUCCAAUCGGACGCCUCUGUACCAGCCCGUGGUAUUUUGCGCUCUAGCUUCUCCACAGAAUCCUUGCUGGAAUUCAGGCCGUGGGUCCCAGGGACACGACUCUAAGUGCUAAUUCCACCUUUCACACUUCCAGAGCUGACUGUGACUUCCCAAUUCCCAGCCCCCCUCCCCACCCCGGAGAGCCACCAGUGACUUUGGCGGGGAGGGAGCGGGAGCACGUGCGGCCCUGGAACACUGUGGCCACCGGCUCGGCCACAUCCUUUUGUGGUAAUCGUCUUUGGCAAAAUGGACUGUAAAUGUAUUUUUAUAAUCAGCUGGCUUCUAAAUUACAGCCGUGUGGCGUAAUGGCAGAGUAAACAUAUGAUUAGUAAUUUCCUUAUGGCAGAAAGUAGAACGGUCUCAGGCUGAGUCUCUGGCUAAGGCCCAGGGCUUAAAAAGAAUUGUUCUUUCAGUACAAGAGAAAAGAGAAAACUCUCUUUAUUCCAAAGCCAAAGCAAUGGGUCACGGCCUUCUUCCUGUGUAGAAACAAUUUUCCUUCCCGAGGAAGAGGGCAAGAGCAAGAUGAACUUGGGAAAAUACUCCAAGGGCUGUCUGCACGCUCAACCUCUGUCCCUGAAGUACCGCCUUCCCCAUGGCAGCCAUGGUUCCUGGCCUUCUAGAAACGACUGCUCCGGAGUUACAGAAAUGCCAUCCAACACGGACACACACAGACUACCAUGGCUCCUUAAACACCCAAGAUAAAAGAUGCAGCAUAAUGCUUCUUGUUUUGUUACUGUUGUCUCUGCCCCAUCCAACUUGUAUACAAAAGAACUAUGGUAGUUCUCCUCAUUCGGGACUAAAACAAUUCUCAGUGUGGACCAAAGGCCGUGUUGAGAAACACCUGGGCUGCUGCUGCUUCGGGUGAAGCUCAGAAUGGGCAUUUUCCCCAGGUCCUGCAACCAUUUCUGACGUGUGCCGUGGACGCGGAAGUUCCCACCGAACAGGCAAAAAAUUACUCGUUAGGACCUGAUCCCAUCUGCGAGGGUUACCACACACCUGCACACCCGCGAAUCUUCUCGCCACAGGACUGGCAAGUUACAAACCAGAGCCCCAGAGCCCAGCACUCCACUUAUGGGGUGGGGGGGGGGGUGCUGGUCUAGAAUGCACACUCCUGGUAACUUUCUCCAGCAGCAAGGCUCCCCCAGCCCUCCUAACCCCCACACAGGGUUUAGUCCAUUAAGCCACGGUGGAGCAGGACGAGUUGUAUUCAACGUUUUUGUUGUGUUUUUUUUUUUAAUGUUUUAAAUUUUUGAGAGAAAGAGAGAGAAAGCAUGCGUGUGAGUGGGGGAGGGGCAGAGAGAGAGGGAGACACAGAAUCUGUCAGAAUCAGGCUCCAGGAUCUGAGCUGUCAGCACAGAGCCCGACUGGGGGCUUGAACCCACAAACCCUGACAUCAUGACCUUAGCCACAGUCAGACGCUCAACUGACUGAGCCACCCAGGCGUCUCUUUGUUUCUUAAUGUUAAAGUCUCAAAGUUCCCACUGAUCUACCCUUUUGUCUAGGGGUGUCUUCAGCUUCUAAUUUUCCAGGGUAAGAAAACAGAGGCUGUCACUUACAGGUUUAGGCUUCUCGUCACAUCUGCCAGAAAACAAGAUCGGGAGUCUCCAGCCCUAGGCCGGCCUCACGUGGGGGAACCUGCCCCAGUGUCCUGUCACACAUUCCUUUAUAGCCUUGUGGCUCAAGAAACUGCAGCUACACCAACGGGGGACAAUCAGGCUGGUUUAUAUAAUGUGCCAAGAUCCCAAGAUAAAAAGCCUUGUAAGUGCCC